rnacentral:rRNA from 1 species
AUACGGAGGGUGCAAGCGUUAUUCGGAAUCACUGGGCGUAAAGGACACGUAGGCGGGAAGCCAAGUCCGAUGUGAAAUCCUACAGCUUAACUGUAGAACUGCAUUGGAAACUGGUUACCUAGAGUAUGGGAGGGGGAGAUGGAAUUAGUGGUGUAGGGGUAAAAUCCGUAGAUAUCACUAGGAAUACCGAAAGCGAAGGCGAUCUCCUGGAACAUAACUGACGCUAAGGCGUGAAAGCGUGGGGAGCAAACAGGAUUAGAAACCCUAGUAGUCC